AAACGGGGAGCAUUAAUUCUCCUUCCAAUUGGUAAACUCCCCGGGGCGUUGAAACCCCAGUCCUCCCACGAGGAUGCCUUCAGAGCAAAGGGAGAUUUCCCAUACACUGAGCGCAGCCCUGCAAAUCAGCUUGGCCGGGGCUCCACGCUGGGUUGGAGCAGGAAGGAAGGAAGGAAUUCAGUGAGAACCAGCAAUGGAGAGAGGGACAGAUGGACAGGUAUCCCUUCCUGGCAGUUCCCGGAGGAGCUGGCUUUUCCGUGCCCCGCUUGCAUCAGCCCUGCCUGGUUAGCCCAGAUGCGAAGAGGAGUCUGUAACCCUCAGAGGCAGAGCCCCCUGACCCCACCGCGAGUCUCUAGGGGGCUAAGGUUCAGCACAACAGAGCCCACCAGUACGUUCCCAUCCUUUCUCAGAGGUCCUGCCUUCUGCUCCUUCGGUAGCCGAUCCGGAACAAGGUAGAAGAACUCCAGUUCUCUGUACCACGGGUGCGGAGGAAGCAAGGAAGGAACUCGGGUCCUUUUUCUGUUCCGGGGGGUCUUUUGACAGGCUCCUGGGCUAUCCCAGUCUCACGUGUGCAGGACUGGCUGCUGGCACUGGCCACUUCCAGGUGCCCCCACCCCUCUCCCUGUACUACGGCCCCUCUCCAGCCUCAAAAUCUACCUCCCGCUUGACAAAACCCCCGGUUCCCUCCAGCCUGUAAACCUCGUGUGCAAAUGUCCUGACUCUUGC
rnacentral:lncRNA from 1 species